AGCAGCCGCGGUAAUUCCAGCUCCAAUAGCGUAUAUUAAAGUUGCUGCAGUUAAAAAGCUCGUAGUUGAAUUUCGGGGUCAAUAUGUUGGUCGUGCCUUGGUACGUACUAGCUUAUUGAUUUCUCCUUUCUGACGAACCAUGAUGUCAUUAAUUUGGUGUCAUGGGGAAUCAGGACUGUUACUUUGAAAAAUUAGAGUGCUUAAAGCAGGCUCGCGCUUGAAUACAUUAGCAUGGAAUAAUGAAAUAGGACAUUUGAUUCUAUUUUGCUGGUUUUCUAGGAUCGAUGUAAUGAUUAAUGGGGAUAGUUGGGGGCAUUAGUAUUCAAUUGUCAGAGGUGAAAUUCUUGGAUUUAUUGAAGACUAACUACUGCGAAAGCAUUUUGCCAAGGAUGUUUUCAUUAAUCAAAACGAAAGUUAGGGGAUCGAAGACGAUCAGAUACCGUCGUAGUCUUAACCAUAAACUAUGCCGACUAGGGAUCGGAUGAUGUUAAUUUUUUAAUGACUCAUUCGGCGCCUUAC
rnacentral:rRNA from 1 species